CUCUCUUUCCUCUUCACCUGUCCCUAUCAAAGGAACCUAGCUUUCCAUCUCGCUACCAGACGAUGUCCCUUUUCUUUCUUAGUCUCUUCGUUGCUGGAAAACCCCAAAUUCCCGUCCCUUGUUCUUCUAUUUUAGCUGCUCCUUACAUUGAAUAAAAUAUCAGUCUUUUCUCAGUCUUAAUCGACAUUGUGUUUUUUUUUUAAAAUUCUCAUUGGCUAUUUAUUUUUGUGUUUUUCUUUAAUUUCUAGAUCUGCUAUAAUUUAUUUUCUCUUUUCUUCUGAAUUCUAGGUUAUGUUAUUUUGGUGUUUAGAAAAUUAGGGUUUUCAUUGAUGUUUUCAGUUCUUCUGAAAUUUUUUAAUUUUUUUAAUUGAUACCUUAAGCAAUCUUAGGUUUGGAAAAAAACCAAAUAAUAAUAUGUUAAUCCACUCUAAUCUCCUUCUUUUUUCUUUAAUUUCCUUUCUUUUUUUGUAUUGUCAGUUAAUUUCUUCUGCUGUUCAAAGAUGUCGUUUAUCCGAAGAUCUUUACCAAAUAUUAGUUGUUCUCAAGAGCUCUCCUCCAAUCAUUCAAGUUUCAAGUGAAUACUUUUCAUUCUUGCUUUAAUUUUUGCCUAACAAUAAGCUUAUCACUCCCUCAAUUUUGUUUGAUCGUAUGAGGUUACUCCUGGAGCUUUACACCGUAUCGAAGUCAGUUCAUGACUUCCUGGAAAGCAAUUACUCCCAAGUUUUGUAAUUGAGCAGUUUGUGCUAGAGAUGUUCGAUGUCUAUGGAAAUCAUGUUCAAUUCCAAUUGGAUGGUUUUAGCAUCCCAGGUCUAAUCGGCUCAAAGCAUAAGGUUGGUUCUUUAAACUGCUCUUUGUCGGCUCUCAAAGGGGGAAUAAAAGUGUCAUUCUAAUUUAUACUGCAUGUUCAAUAUUUUUCAUGAAUUUGAUGCUAAAACUUGUAGUCAAAAUUACACUUUUUGAGAUAUGAGCAUGAUGGUGUUCUUAAGUAGAUAACCUUGGACGCAUUGACCUUGGGGGCCUACUGAAAGUAACUGCAGGUUAUGGAAAACAAGGGGGAUCUCUUUUUGGAUAUGAUCUUGGUGUUUCUGGUGGAGUGACUUCCAUGGAUGAUUUCUUGAAGGAAUUCUUCCCAAAGAUAUAUAGAAGGAAACAAGCACAUCUUCAUGAAACUGACUACUGCAAAUAUGACAACCAGCUCCUCACACUUUUUACGUGUUCGCUCUACUUCGCAGGCCUUCUUUCUACAUUUGGAGCCUCUUAUGUUACUAGAAACAAAGGGCGUCGAGCCAGCAUCCUUGUUGGUGCAGUCAGCUUCUUCCUAGGAGGAGCUAUCAUAGCAGGUGCGGUGAAUGUCACAAUGUUGAUCACAGGACGCAUUCUUCUUGAUGCAGGCAUCUAAAUGUGUUUGGUAUUUUAGGUAUCCAACAUUUAUUGAUGCACUUAGAGAUUUGGAUGAUCCUCUUACAAUGGUGCACCUGUUUGCAAUGUUAACUUUGAAUCUUUGAAUCUUUGGAUUUAGGAUUUGUUUGAAUUAUUCUUCUAAUUAGUUACUUUUCUCAUUUCCUACUGGAUAGAAAUGUGUUUGACUCUGGAUAUUUUCAUCAUUUCAGGCAAGAAAGAUUGAUUUUUAUUACAAUCUAA